ACAGAAAGAUGGCCAUAUUUAAUCAAUGAGCUGAUGUUUCAUUUUGUGCAAGUUUUGAUUAUGCUGUGCAGGAUUUGUAACACAAGUUAACAAGAUUAAAUGCACCAAUUCAGAGCCAAUUUGUUCCUUGAGUCUCUUUUCCAGAUAAAAAAUAAUCACAAUUAAAAAACAAUAACCGUGUGAAACAUUGACCUUAGCUUUAAAAUGGACUUGAAACAAAUGUAAUUCACAACAAGCAAUAAUUCACUGAAGAAAUAUGAUUCUGAUGGUCAAGAUAUUUCUUCCGUUGUAAACAAUGAUUAUGUUAACAAUGCUACCACUGAUGAUGGUGUUAUUUUUUGAUGAUGAUGAUGUUAUCAGAAGGAAAAAAUGUAAAUUAAUAUGAUUUAGUAGAAAAAAACAGAACAAUUGAUAAAAUCGAAUGUAAAGACAAAUAAAGCUAAUGUGAAAUCACUUGGUAAAGAUGAUAUCAAUAAGGUUGAUUGUCGAUUUAUGAUGAUUUUUGGAAGAUUACACUGAUUUUGAUUCAAAGUGUUACGUAUUUUCACAGUAAUACAAUAAAAUAAUUGAUACGAAUUAAACUAAAAAACAAUUGGCAGGUAAAUAAGAAAGGUAAAAUUACACAAUAAAAUAGAGAAGGAACCAAAAAAAGAGAGAAAAUUUUGGUUAGCAAAAAAGAAAGAACAGUUGAUUGAUGAUUUGUUGUUGAUACUGUAUAUGUAUUAGGAUCGAGUUGUUCGUUGUCUUCAAUUUAUUCCGUUAAUAUUUACUGUAUUGUUGCUCCUUUUAAAGUUGAUUAUUACAUCAGUUUGAAAUGUAAUUUAUAAUUAUUAAUAAUAACACCUAAAACAUUGAUCCAAAUCAUUAUAAUUUCAUUUUUCUAGUUUUUGGUUACCCCAUUUCAAUUAGGAAACUUACACAGGGUCUAAGGCUUCUUACACAUUCACAGGUUCACAUUCAACUCCAAAACACUACCUUUAUCCACCGUUAGAUGUCACUUGGCUCUUCUUUACCUUUCUUUGUACAAUAAGCUCUUUCUUUCACCUUUUUACUCAUCUUCUUCCUUCCCAUGUUCAGUUCAGCAUCAUGUUAUCAUGCUUCAUCCUUUUUUCUGUAGCCAAUCUAAUACUUUCAUUUAUAUUCACCUUUUCAGUAACAAUUUUCCCGGAUACUCCAUGUGCACCUGAUCGCCAUCUAUUAGAACUGAUAAAAACUUGAAUAAUAAAAGAGGGAGCAAAAAAUCAAUUUUUCUUGAGUAACGGCUUUUAGCUUUUUAUUAAUAAUCUUUUUUUUAACAAUUUAAAUUUAUUUAACAUCAUUUAAUCCUUUCUAAUUGUUAUAUUAAUGAGCUAAAUUUUUUAGCUGUUAAUCUCUGUGUUUUCGAUAAUCUCUUUUCUAAUUCCCUGGUUUGCUUAUUAUGUUGUGUUUUAAGCGUUAGUUUGGUUUGUGUUCAAAAGUCUUCUUUUGUUUCAUUGCCAUUUUUCAUUGGCAAAGUGUUAACAUAUUGAAACUUGACUUAUUGUUACAUUGAUUCGUCUUAUUGAUGUCUUCCUGUCUACCAUGUGUUUCAUGGAUUUGAUACUUGAUGAUCUUUAAAAAAAGAUCAUCUCUCUUCUUGAUCUAUUCUUAUCGUAUUUGGCUCAUAAUCAAUUGUUUUUUGUCUUUGUUAUCCAUCACUCAUCACUCAAAGUGAACAUAUUACAAUUUUCCCGUUUCCCCUCAAAAAAAUGGAUGAAUGUAAAUCAAGUUUGGAUUCAGUUAAACCUAAACAAAGACAGUCUAACCAACUUUGUUCAAUUUAUUUUAACCUCUGUUACUCGAAGAUUAAUCAAUGAGACGACCCUGGUUUAUUGUAAUUAUGGUGGAUUGAUUAAAGUGAAAUUGGUUGUGAUUAAUGAUUCGCAUUGAUUGAGACAAAAUGGGAAGAAGCAAAAAGCGGUAAAUGUCUCAUUCAAGCGAAACAUACAACCACAUGAAGAUGGAAACUUAUUGGUUCAAUUGCUGAUGAUAAGAAGGAGGAUAAGGAGAAAGUGAUGGAGAUUGUGAUAAAAAGAUUUAAAGAGCAAAAAUAAGGUGAAAUGAGAUGUUUUCAAAAUGAUUGCAAUCAUUUUGUUGGCUGAAACUGAAACCAGCGAGCGAUGACUUUACCAGCUUCAUCGAUUUAAUAAUCUUAUUGAUUAUUGGAAUUGUCUUCAAUCAAAACAAAAUCAUUUUUCCAUUUCUUCAUAUUCAUUUAAAUACAAUUGAACAGUCGAGUUGAUCGUAAAAAAUUGGCAUCUUUAAAUUUCUUCAUCACAACAGCAGACAUGGAAAUGAAUUAACCAUUUUAGACUCUCAUUGACAGACAUUACUUUUUGUCUCCAGUCUAUACAUCACAAUCAAUAACUCAAAACAAUUGCAACGGAUUGAUCAUUAAUAUUGAUAGGAAUUGUGAUUUAAGGCUAUCACUAAAGUUACCCAUCAAAGCGUCCAACUCUGGUUGGUAGUCCAGCUUUACCCAACAAACCAAACUUAACGUUCUUUAACCAGUCGAGGCUUUAAAUGAUUUAUAAUUAACUGCAAUUAUAACCAUUGUAUGACUCAAGUGAUUACUCAGAGUUACCUAGCGUGGGAAUUGAUUAAAGAUGAUUGGAAGUCCGCACUCUUGAGCUUUAUAAAAACAGUGAAUUCUGGUUCUGUCCAUUUAUCAUCAGAUACCUUCCUUUUUUAGAGUUUAAAUUGCAAUUAUUAAACAAACAAACAUUUUUAAUUGUGAACCUUAAA